rnacentral:tRNA from 1 species
GAUAGCUCAAUGGUAGAGCACGCGGCUGUUAACCGCGUAGUUGUAGGUUCGAGUCCUACUC